CUGACCUGCCAGUGUGAAAUAAUCUUGCCUUCCAAGAUCUCCGAGUGCCGCUUGGCUCUUCUGCCAGGUGAUCCAGACCAGGUUCCGUAACAUUUGGUUUCCUGACCGGGAAACCGUGCUGGCCCAUUGUUGCCACCGGUUUGGGAAAACGGCGAGGCGGUGACGGAACGAGGAAUCGCAACGGAGAAGGCGCGCCCUGCCUGAAUUUCGGCAGUCUCCCUCUCGGUGGUCUCAGGCCGGCCCCAGUCUGUCUGCCGUUCCCAUUGGACUGGAGGAGACUUGGCCGUGGAGCAUCUGGACCCGACGUCGGAUACAGUUGCCAUGAGGAUGAGAGCUGCUUUGUUCUAUCUGAUGGCUACUUUUCUGGUUCUGUGAUUUGGGGAAGAAGGGGAACAGAUUUCACAAAAUCCGCUUCAUGUCCUUACUUAGAAUGAGGCAAAGAAGAAAAGUACCACAUGUACUGCCCUGGGGCAGCACAGUCAUGGGGCAACAAAGGCACAAAAUGGGGCCUGUAGAGGAUCCAAUGGUUGGCCAAGUGGCAAAGGAUUCAACUCUCUGUGAGGAUCUUAGGGGCACAGGCUCAGUGACGGCAAGACGGCAGAUAAUUUCACA